rnacentral:lncRNA from 1 species
UUAUUUACUUACUUAUUAUAUGUUAUAAUUUGUACAUAAUAUAUUUUUCCCAUAUAUUUUAAACUCAAAUAAAGUAAAUUGUUAAGCUAUACAUGUGUGAAAAAUACCAUUAAACUCUGGUAAGUAAGUGUCAAAAUCUUAAAUCAAUGAAAAAGGAUACACAAAAAAUCAAUGGUAAAUGAAUAUUUUCCUCAAAGUUCGAAGUCAAACUCAGUGCUACUAGGAUCUUUUCAAUAAAAAGCUCAUAUUGAUUUUUCAAUGUAUAAAUUUUCUUUCUCUCGUAUAAAUAAGCGCGAGCCCACACAACACACACCCACACACAUUUUUUUCUCUUUUAUUUAUAUCUUAUGGGUAAUCUCUUCUCCACUAAGUGACUAAAAUGACUCCUAUAACAAGCUUUGGGUCGAUAACUCCUCAGGUUUAAUUGCUCAAGUUAAAUAGCUCCUAAAAGGAGCAUAAAAUAUUGGGCCUUUUUUUUCGAGGGAAUAUACUUGAGCUUAGGUCUAUUAAAAUAAACUCAAUUUAUGUUCAAAGUCACCUUAUCAACAUAUGACUAUCAUCUCAAAUCUCAUAUACACAGUCAAGGCCUACUCACAAUAUCAUAAUCUGUGCAAUACAGAUGGUACAUAAAGAAACAUAUACUAAGUACUCCAUAAAAACCUAAACAAGCAAUGAAAAAUAUUCUACAGUACAUCAAUUAAACUCAUACUUGGUAUGAAAAUCACUUUCAAGUUUACUUUAUAUCAUGCUAUAGUUUUCAAAGCUUUUCCCUUUUUUUAAAUGAAUGCACCAAUCACACAAAAUAAAAUAAAAAAUUCAACACAAAAAAAUAAAAAUAAAAAAUAAAAAUGCAUGUAACAAUGCAAACAUAAUGAAGAUGCACAUAUAUGAACCUACCUCCUAUAAAGCACAUAUAAAAUUGAGAUGUAUGUAAUAAUGAAUGAAUCACAAUGAAUAAGCACAAGCAUGUACCAGAAAUAUCUAAUCAAUUAGGCAUACAAACACUCUUAUCUUUAAGAGCACCAUGACCUAUUUCAUGAUUUUUCAUAUCACUCUUCUUCACCCAAACAUGCCAAGUGGAAGAAUUAAUCCUAGUCAACUUUGUCAUUAACUCGGUCAAUUGACUAACUUGACUAGGAAGUCAAUUCGGCUAUCCAAAUCCUAAUUUUUAUUUCUAUUGAAGUUUUGAUUUCUAUUUCUAUUCAAAAGUUUAUGACACCUAUGCCUUAUAUGUCCUAACUCGCUACAACUGAACAAGUAGGGGUAAACCUAGGAUCAAUGUUUUGUGGUCGAUGAUUUCUAUUCCUAGGUCAGUAUGUUCUAAGCUGUCUAAUAGGCAUCUAUCCUACGAUUCCCUUAUUUUUGGGUUUAGGGUUAUAAAUGUACUUAGGCUAGUCAAUGACAGGGACAAAAAUGGUCUUGGAAGUACUAGCAGUAUUAUGAUUAUUCUACUUAUAUCCUAGACCUCCUUCCUUAUUACCAGCAGGCUGGCUCAUCCUUAAGAUACUAUCAAGCUUAAAAGAACCACUAGAGAUAAUGCAAGGAGUUUAGUAAUGGAAUCCUCAAGAUCGCUCAUAAAGGUGUUAACAUCAUUUUCUAAAGACUCAUUCACAAUGCUCAACUCACCAAGUCUUCUAGAGGACUUGUCUAGAUCACUCACAAGAUUCUUGACAUGAGUAUCUAAGGAUUUAUUCAUAGAGUUCAACUUACUUAGGGAUAAGGUAGAUUCCUGAAGGAUAGCUAUAAAUUUUUCCUUUUCUAGCUCAAGGUCGUUGAUCUUUCAUACGUAAGGGUUUAUUGGCAAUCAAUAUCCUAAGACUCUCUUCAUAUAAUUUAUCAUAGGCCUUCUGUAUGUAUUCCUCUUUUUCAAGAUCCUCUUCAGAUUUUUCUUCACUCUCUACAUCCUUAACCUUUUCACUCUCUUUAUGAGAUUCACUUCUAAUCCUAGCAGUGAAGGCCAUAUUUUUC